CCUACGGGUGGCAGCAGUGAGGAAUAUUGGUCAAUGGGCGCUAGCCUGAACCAGCCAAGUAGCGUGAAGGAUGACUGCCCUAUGGGUUGUAAACUUCUUUUAUAUGGGUAUAAAGUGCAGUAUGAAUACUGCUUUGGAUUUACCUUAUGAAUAAGGGACGGCUAACUCCGUGCCAGCAGCCGCGGUAAUACGGAGGAUCCGAGGGUUAUCCGGAUUUAGUGGGUUUAAGGGGAGCGUAGUCGGGUUGUUAAGUCAGUUGUGAAAGUUUGCGGCUCAACAGUAAAAUUGCAGUUGAUACUGGCAUCCUUGAGUACAGUAGAGGUAGGCAGAAUUCGUGGUGUAGCGGUGAAAUGCUUAGAUAUCACGAAGAACUCCGAUUGCGAAGGCAGCCUGCUGGACUGUAACUGACGCUGAUGCUCGAAAGUGUGGGUAUCAAACAGGAUUAGAUACCCGGGUAGUC
rnacentral:rRNA from 1 species